rnacentral:rRNA from 1 species
AUGAAGGCAGGGUCGGCUCCGGGGCCUGAUGGGAUCCUAGCCCUUCACGAGAUUGUCCAUGAGGUAAAGACGUGUGGCCAUAAGGGCGUCUUCCUCAAGUUGGACUUCCAAAAGGCAUACGACCGCCUGGAUUGGUCAUUCUUGCGGUUGGCGCUUCAGCAAAGGGGCUUUGAUGACAGAUGGUGUUCAUGGAUCAUGCAGUUCGUUCGGUCCGGAAGGACGGCGAUUAAUAUUAAUGGCGACGUGGGACCAUUCUUUACGUCCUCUGCAGGAGUGAAGCAAAGGGACCCGAUCUCCCCCCUUCACUUCAACCUCGCCGUUGAUGCUUUGCUGGCAACCUAG